UACGUAGGGUGCAAGCGUUAAUCGGAAUUACUGGGCGUAAAGCGUGCGCAGGCGGUUAUGUAAGACAGAUGUGAAAUCCCCGGGCUCAACCUGGGAACUGCAUUUGUGACUGCAUAGCUAGAGUACGGUAGAGGGGGGGAUGGAAUUCCGCGUGUAGCAGUGAAAUGCGUAGAUAUGCGGAGGAACACCGAUGGCGAAGGCAAUCCCCUGGACCUGUACUGACGCUCAUGCACGAAAGCGUGGGGAGCAAACGAGGA
rnacentral:rRNA from 1 species